ACUACCGAAAAUUGUUGAUCAGAAUAUCAAUCUCUGGAGUAGUAUUUUCCAAAAGCAUGGAGGCCACCAUAGCUUGCUGCUCAUCCGCCAGGGCGCUCCUGCCGGCUGCCGGCAUUUCGACUCACCAGCAUUCCACUUCAGUUGUGGCUCCAUCUUUCAGCUCCAAGGGCCUAAAAUCAAGCUCCCUCUUCGGAGAAUCACUACGACAAGUGCCACGAUCAUCGCUCAAGUUUUCUACAACAAAACAGUCCUCCCAUGUGAUCAAGUGUGAGAUCGGCGAUAGCCUGGAGGAGUUUCUUGCAAAGGCAACCCCGGAUAAGGGACUGAUCAGGUUGCUGUUAAGCAUGGGAGAAGCAUUGAGGACUAUAUCCUUCAAGGUCAGAACAGCUUCUUGUGGAGGAACAGCCUGCGUUAAUUCUUUCGGAGAUGAGCAGCUCGCCGUGGAUAUGCUUGCUGACAAGCUUUUGUUCGAGGCCUUAAGUUACUCGCACGUCUGCAAAUACGCUUGCUCUGAAGAGGUUCCGGAACUCCAAGACAUGGGAGGCCCAGUUGAAGGUGGAUUUAGUGUUGCUUUUGAUCCGCUUGAUGGCUCCAGCAUAGUCGACAAACUUCACAGUAGGGACAAUCUUUGGUGUGUGGCCAGGGGAUAAGUUAACUGGGGUAACAGGAAGAGACCAAGUUGCUGCAGCCAUGGGGAUUUAUGGUCCUAGAACUACAUAUGUUCUUGCUAUCAAGGGCUUCCCCGGAACCCACGAGUUUCUUCUUCUUGAUGAAGGAAAGUGGCAACAUGUCAAAGAGACAACAGAGAUUGGUGAAGGAAAAAUGUUUUCGCCCGGGAAUUUGAGAGCCACAUUUGACAAUCCAGACUAUGACAAGUUGAUCAGCUACUACGUAAAAGAGAAGUACACGUUGAGAUACACCGGAGGAAUGGUGCCAGAUGUCAAUCAGAUAAUUGUGAAAGAGAAGGGGGUUUUCACAAACGUGAUAUCUCCAACUACGAAAGCCAAGCUGAGGCUGUUAUUUGAGGUAGCUCCAUUAGGGUUGUUGAUUGAGAAUGCUGGAGGUUAUAGUAGUGAUGGUCAGCAGUCUGUGCUAGACAAGGUCGUUGUUAACCUUGACGAUAGAACUCAGGUUGCUUAUGGAUCAAAAAAUGAGAUAAUCCGAUUCGAAGAAACUUUAUACGGAUCAUCCAGGCUCAAAGGUGUGCCUGUUGGAGCUGCAGCUUAAGCCAUGCAUUCCUUUCUCGUAUAAUGGUGCACAAAUUUUCCAAAGGUGGUGGAAAUGGAUCCAAGUUUAAUUUAGUAUAUCGUUAUAGUUUGUAUUAGGUAUAUGUGCAGUUGUGCACCUUAUUCACCAUACUAUAUAUAUAGCAACUUGGUGCGUGUUUACAAAGCAUUGAAAGGCUUUCAAAUGAUCUAAAGUAGCAAUGUUUACAUGUGAUUAGCAUGA